GAUUUGUCAACACAGCCAUCAGAUGACAUUGAUCUUUUCGGUACUAUUCGGGCUUUAUUAGCUAAACACACAGAUUUUGUUCGCCCGAUUGGACUACCGCUACUGGGUGAUCUAUAAUAGAUGCCCAAAGAACUAGGAGCUUGCUCGGAUUUAUCCAAUGUAGAAAUAGUUGUAGAAACUUGAUCGGUGAAGGAUAAGGAAGGAAUUGUAUGACUUCGAAUCAUUGGGGAAGACGAAAGACAAGACAAUUCACUGGUUUCAAUAAGAUUCGAUUUACCUGACUUUGGAUAUGAAAGAGCGGGAGCUAAUAAAGCUGCUAAAGUUUCCUCCUCAUUAACAGGCUUUUCGGGUUCGGUCUGUUUUAGAGUCUUAGAAGAUUGUGCAAUUUGCUGCAGUACAACGUAAUCCGAGGCCACAAAAGAUCCGGAAGAAGGUGAUACCUUUUUAUGGCGUCUACGAACAGUAGACCGCUUUUUAGGGGUGUACUUGUAUUCGGGAUUUUCCAGCAUAUGUUUCUGCCUUUCGAGGGCGGAUAAAUCAGAAUAAUACUUCUUGACUUGGGCACUUUCAUUUCUCCACAGCUGACCAAUGAUACGUGAGAUACUUUGGUGAUUAGAAGUAGGAAUUUCAGCUUGGCGAUCUCGACGAUAAAGCAUAAAACUGUUUAAAGGUCGCUUAACAGAACUUUUUUGGUCCUUUUGCUCGGCUGUUAAAGAAGCAGACAUUGUGUAGAGAAGAGUAAAUAUAAAAAUUGUAGUAAAAGUAAGGGAGAAAAUAAAACAAAUGAAACGGUUCUUAGAAUUAAUUAGAAAGAUGAUUCAGUAAGAACAAAGCAAACAUAAAUGAAGUUCGCAGUCAGAAAGAACGAAGUAGAAAAGAAGCGAACAGCACAAACCGAGGGAGAGGGGAUGAGAUCAGAAAACAGUAAAGAAAUAAACACCGAAUA